UGCCUACGGGGCGCAGCAGUGAGGAAUAUUGGUCAAUGGUCGGGAGACUGAACCAGCCAAGCCGCGUGAGGGAGGAAGGUACAGAGUAUCGUAAACCUCUUUUGUCAGGGAACAAAGGCGGGGACGUGUCCCCGGAUGAGUGUACCUGAAGAAAAAGCAUCGGCUAACUCCGUGCCAGCAGCCGCGGUAAUACGGAGGAUGCGAGCGUUAUCCGGAUUUACUGGGUGUAAAGGGAGCGUAGACGGCAGCGCAAGUCUGGAGGGAAAUGCCGGGGCCCAACCCCGGAACUGCUCUGGAAACUGUGA
rnacentral:rRNA from 1 species